rfam:Nitrospirae bacterium RIFCSPHIGHO2_02_FTLL_42_12 rifcsphigho2_02_scaffold_5368, whole genome shotgun sequence.
AACGCCCUGCUAUGUGCGUGAUGUAAAGGAAAUUUUGACCCAACAGUCAAAUAAAAGGGGAUUCUGUCCAGGGAGAUGGUGUGCAAGCCCUCACGUUUUCAUCUUUUUUAAAGAUGGCAAGAGGGAAGCCUGAAGUCUUCAUCAGGAUACCCACCUGGUUUGACCAGGUUUAAAUUUCUUUUAUACACGGCAAAAGUGGGGCGGAA